AGUCGAGGGGCAGCGGAGAGGUAGCAAUACCUUUGCCGGCGACCGGCGCACGGGUGAGUAACACGUAUGCAAUCCACCUGUAACAGGGGGAUAACCCGGAGAAAUCCGGACUAAUACCCCAUAAUAUGGGCUCUCCGCAUGGAGGGUUCAUUAAAGAGAGCAAUUUUGGUUACAGACGAGCAUGCGCUCCAUUAGCCAGUUGGCGGGGUAACGGCCCACCAAAGCGACGAUGGAUAGGGGUUCUGAGAGGAAGGUCCCCCACAUUGGAACUGAGACACGGUCCAAACUCCUACGGGAGGCAGCAGUGAGGAAUAUUGGUCAAUGGUCGGCAGACUGAACCAGCCAAGUCGCGUGAGGGAAGACGGCCCUACGGGUUGUAAACCUCUUUUGUCGGAGAGUAAAGUACGCUACGUGUAGCGUAUUGCAAGUAUCCGAAGAAAAAGCAUCGGCUAACUCCGUGCCAGCAGCCGCGGUAAUACGGAGGAUGCGAGCGUUAUCCGGAUUUAUUGGGUUUAAAGGGUGCGUAGGCGGCACGCCAAGUCAGCGGUGAAAUUUUCGGGCUCAACCCGGACUGUGCCGUUGAAACUGGCGAGCUAGAGUGCACAAGAGG
rnacentral:rRNA from 1 species